rnacentral:rRNA from 1 species
GGACGAUCAGCCACACUGGAACUGAGACACGGUCCAGACACCUACGGGUGGCAGCAGUCGAGAAUCUUUCACAAUGGGGGAAACCCUGAUGAAGCGACGCCGCGUGGGGGAAGAAUGGCUUCGGCCCGUAAACCCCUGUCAUUCGCGAGCAAAGCUCGAGGUUGAAUAGGUCUCGAGUUGAUAGUAGCGAAAGAGGAAGGGACGGCUAACUCUGUGCCAGCAGCCGCGGUAAUACAGAGGUCCCAAGCGUUGUUCGGAUUCACUGGGCGUAAAGCGUGCGUAGGUGGUCGGGUAAGUUCGGUGUGAAAGCUCCGGGCCCAACUCGGAAAGGUCAUCGAAAACUACUCGGCUAGAGGAUUGGAUGGGAGACUGGAAUUCUCGGUGUAGCAGUGAAAUGCGUAGAUAUCGAGAGGAACACCAGUGGCGAAGGCGAGUCUCUGGACAAUUCCUGACACUGAGGCACGAAAGCUAGGGGAGCAAACAGGAUUAGAUACCCUGGUAGUCCUAGCCGUAAACGGUGCGCACUUGCUGUAGGCGGAAUCGACCCCGUCUGUGGCGAAGCUAACGCGUUAAGUGCGCCGCCUGGGGAGUACGGUCGCAAGACUAAAACUCAAAGAAAUUGACGGGGGCCUGCACAAGCGGUGGAGUAUGUGGCUUAAUUCGAUCAACGCGAAGAACCUUACCUGGCCUUGACAUCCAAGUGGUAAAAGCCUGAAAGGGUAAUGACCCCGCAAGGGGAGCUUGGACAGGUGCUGCAUGGCUGUCGUCAGCUCGUGUCGUGAGAUGUUGGGUUAAGUCCCGCAACGAGCGCAACCCCCGUGUCCUGUUGCCACUCCCGCUAGCGCGGGAAGCACUCUGGACAGACUGCCUCGCUUAAACGAGGAGGAAGGUGGGGAUGACGUCAAGUCAGUAUGGCCCUUACGGCCGGGGCUGCACACGUACUACAAUGCCUGGCACAGAGGGCAGCGAUACCGCAAGGUGGAGCAAAUCCCUUAAAACCAGGCCCAGUUCAGAUUGUCGUCUGCAAUUCGACGGCAUGAAGUCGGAAUCGCUAGUAAUGGCGUAUCAGCUACGACGCCGUGAAUACGUUCCCAGGCCUUGUACACACCGCCCGUCACAUCAUGAAAGCCGGUUGUACCCGAAGUCACCGUGCCAACCCUCAGGAGGUAGGUGCCGAAGGUAUGACUGGUGAUUGGGAUGAAGACGUAACAAGGUA